CUCCCCUGGCAAAGGGCAAAGAGACACCUCGUGAUGUUGUUCUUGUAUCAGUCAGGGGCAGGGCAGAUGGCAGUUCUUUGUUCAUCCUAGCUUGAUGCCUGGCUUGGUGGCCAAAGCUGUUUUAUGCCUAGGACACAUAA